rnacentral:rRNA from 1 species
AUUGAACGCUGGCGGCAUGCUUUACACAUGCAAGUCGAACGGCAGCGCGGGCGUCGGCCUGGCGGCGAGUGGCGAACGGGUGAGUAAUGCAUCGGAACGUGCCCAGUAGUGGGGGAUAGCCCGGCGAAAGCCGGAUUAAUACCGCAUACGACCUGAGGGUGAAAGCGGGGGACCGAAAGGCCUCGCGCUAUUGGAGCGGCCGAUGUCGGAUUAGCUAGUUGGUGGGGUAAAGGCUUACCAAGGCGACGAUCCGUAGCUGGUCUGAGAGGACGACCAGCCACACUGGGACUGAGACACGGCCCAGACUCCUACGGGAGGCAGCAGUGGGGAAUUUUGGACAAUGGGGGCAAACCUGAUCCAGCCAUGCCGCGUGCGGGAAGAAGGCCUUCGGGUUGUAAACCGCUUUUGUUCGGGAAGAAAUCCUCUGGGCUAAUACCCCGGGGGGAUGACGGUACCGGAAGAAUAAGCACCGGCUAACUACGUG